rnacentral:rRNA from 1 species
GAUGAACGCUGGCGGCGUGCCUAAUACAUGCAAGUCGAGCGAACGGACGAGAAGCUUGCUUUUCUGAUGUUAGCGGCGGACGGGUGAGUAACACGUGGAUAACCUACCUAUAAGACUGGGAUAACUUCGGGAAACCGGAGCUAAUACCGGAUAAUAUUUUGAACCGCAUGGUUCAAAAGUGAAAGACGGUCUUGCUGUCACUUAUAGAUGGAUCCGCGCUGCAUUAGCUAGUUGGUAAGGUAACGGCUUACCAAGGCAACGAUGCAUAGCCGACCUGAGAGGGUGAUCGGCCACACUGGAACUGAGACACGGUCCAGACUCCUACGGGAGGCAGCAGUAGGGAAUCUUCCGCAAUGGGCGGAAGCCUGACGGAGCAACGCCGCGUGAGUGAUGAAGGUCUUCGGAUCGUAAAACUCUGUUAUUAGGGAAGAACAUAUGUGCAAGUAACUGUGCACAUCUUGACGGUACCUAAUCAGAAAGCCACGGCUAACUACGUG